GAGGUAAUGGCCCACCAAGGCGACGACGGGUAGCUGGUCUGAGAGGACGACCAGCCACACUGGAACUGAGAUACGGUCCAGACUCCUACGGGAGGCAGCAGUGGGGAAUAUUGCACAAUGGGCGAAAGCCUGAUGCAGCGACGCCGCGUGAGGGAUGAAGGCCUUCGGGUUGUAAACCUCUUUCGGCAGGGACGAAGCGAUCAGUGACGGUACCUGCAGAAGAAGCCCCGGCUAACUACGUGCCAGCAGCCGCGGUAAGACGUAGGGGGGGAGCGUUGUCCGGAUUCAUUGGGCGUAAAGCGCGCGUAGGCGGCUGCGCAAGUCGGGUGUGAAACCCCGGGGCUCAACCCCGGAACUGCAUCCGAUACUGCGCGGCUAGAGGUAGGUAGGGGAGAUCGGAAUUCCUGGUGUAGCGGUGAAAUGCGCAGAUAUCAGGAGGAACACCGGUGGCGAAGGCGGAUCUCUGGGCCUUACCUGACGCUCAGGCGCGAAAGCUAGGGGAGCGAACAGGAUUAGAUACCCUGGUAGUCCUAGCCGUAAACGUUGGGUGCUA
rnacentral:rRNA from 1 species